rnacentral:rRNA from 1 species
UACGGGGGGGGCAAGCGUUGUUCGGAAUUACUGGGCGUAAAGAGCUCGUAGGUGGUUUGUCGCGUUGUUCGUGAAAUCUCACGGCUUAACUGUGAGCGUGCGGGCGAUACGGGCAGACUGGAGUACUGCAGGGGAGACUGGAAUUCCUGGUGUAGCGGUGGAAUGCGCAGAUAUCAGGAGGAACACCGGUGGCGAAGGCGGGUCUCUGGGCCGUAACUGACGCUGAGGAGCGAAAGCGUGGGGAGCGAACAGG